AACGAACGCUGGCGGCAUGCCUAACACAUGCAAGUCGAACGAGACCUUCGGGUCUAGUGGCGCACGGGUGCGUAACGCGUGGGAACCUGCCCUUAGGUUCGGAAUAACUCCCCGAAAGGGGUGCUAAUACCGGAUAAUGUCUUCGGACCAAAGAUUUAUCGCCUUUGGUUGGGCCCGCGUUGGAUUAGCUCGUUGGUAGGGUAAAAGCCUACCAAGGCGACGAUCCAUAGCUGGUCUGAGAGGAUGGUCAGCCACACUGGGACUGAGACACGGCCCAGACUCCUACGGGAGGCAGCAGUGGGGAAUAUUGGACAAUGGGCUAAAGCCUGAUCCAGCAAUGCCGCGUGAGUGAUGAAGGCCUUAGGGUUGUAAAGCUCUUUUACCCGGGAUGAUAAUGACAGUACCGGGAGAAUAAGCUCCGGCUAACUCCGUG
rnacentral:rRNA from 1 species